UACGUAGGGCGCAAGCGUUGUCCGGAAUUAUUGGGCGUAAAGGGCUCGUAGGCGGUUUGUCGCGUCGGAAGUGAAAACACGGGGCUUAACUCUGUGCUUGCUUUCGAUACGGGCAGACUAGAGGGAUGCAGGGGAGAACGGAAUUCCUGGUGUAGCGGUGAAAUGCGCAGAUAUCAGGAGGAACACCGGUGGCGAAGGCGGUUCUCUGGGCAUUCCCUGACGCUGAGGAGCGAAAGCGUGGGGAGCGAACAGG
rnacentral:rRNA from 1 species